rnacentral:rRNA from 1 species
GUCNNACGGCAGCACGGGGGCAACCCUGGUGGCGAGUGGCGAACGGGUGAGUAACAUAUCGGAACGUGCCCUGGAGUGGGGGAUAACUAGUCGAAAGAUUAGCUAAUACCGCAUACGAUCUACGGAUGAAAGUGGGGGAUCGCAAGACCUCAUGCUCGUGGAGCGGCCNNUNUNNGNNNNNNUAGUUGGUGGGGUAAAGGCCUACCAAGGCAUCGAUCAGUAGCUGGUCUGAGAGGACGACCAGCCACACUGGGACUGAGACACGGCCCAGACUCCUACGGGAGGCAGCAGUGGGGAAUUUUGGACAAUGGGCGCAAGCCUGAUCCAGCAAUGCCGCGUGAGUGAAGAAGGCCUUCGGGUUGUAAAGCUCUUUUGUCAGGGAAGAAACGGUUCGGGUUAAUACCUUGGGCUAAUGACGGUACCUGAAGAAUAAGCACCGGCUAACUACGUGCCAGCAGCCGCGGUANUNNNUNUGGUGCAAGCGUUAAUCGGAAUUACUGGGCGUAAAGCGUGC